AGCUCCCUGGCAUGUACGCCAGCUUGCGAUGACCCUCUCCCGAUAAGCAACACAAUGGAGGCUAUGUGCAAGACCGGUGUGCAUGUCCGCUCGACGGAAAGCCUUAAGGUCUGCUGUAGUCGCCACCUUGAACUCUCGGGUUCAAGGGCCUACGCGAGCAGCGGCAUGCUGGGGAGUCU
rnacentral:other from 1 species